GUCGAGACUGACGAAUGAUGUAUUUAGACACAGAAAAUGGUUCUUCACUUUUCAUUGCAUCACAAAAAGGAGAGUGACUUCUGAAGCUAUUUUUGUGCUUGUAGGUUUCUGGAGACAGCCCACAGAUCCCAGGUGUGGUGAUAUCCCAGGACAGAAGCAAAGCCAACACUCCUUUUUGUGAACAGCAGACACUAAAUCACAUGCUAAAAGGUCACGCUGAAAACACAGAGAAAUCCAGGAAUGCAACCAGUAUCUCUUGAACCUGACCCCUAAAAAAAAAACAUCCUCGAUGGAGCAAAAAUCUACACAAAGCAAUGAAAGAGACAAGUGGGGGGAUGCAGUUGCAAAGAGGCUGAUGAGCACAGAUGCAGCAAAGAGUGCACAAGAGAGAAG
rnacentral:lncRNA from 1 species